rnacentral:rRNA from 1 species
UACAGAGGUGGCAAGCGUUGUUCGGAAUUACUGGGCGUAAAGGGCGCGUAGGCGGCCUUCUAAGUCAGACGUGAAAUCCCCGGGCUUAACCUGGGAACUGCAUUUGUGACUGCAUGGCUGGAGUGCGGCAGAGGGGGAUGGAAUUCCGCGUGUAGCAGUGAAAUGCGUAGAUAUGCGGAGGAACACCGAUGGCGAAGGCAAUCCCCUGGGCCUGCACUGACGCUCAUGCACGAAAGCGUGGGGAGCAAACAGG